GAAGUGCGAUAAGCAAUGCGAAUUGCAGAAUUCCGCGAAUCAUCAGAUCUUUGAACGCAAAUGGCGCCAGAGGGAUAUCCUUCUGGCAUGUCUGUUUCAGUGUCUGAGAGGUUUCACAAUAAUCUUAAUGUGAUUGAAUUCGGUUUGUGAUGAUGAUGAUAAGUAGUCAUCACUCACUCACUCUUUUCUCUCAUGAAAGAUGCGCGAGGGGAUCUUUCGGUCCAAUGAAGUGGUCACAUCACUCGAAUGUGAUUUCAUUGGAAGCACCGAAUUAUCAUUUUUAACUCGCGGUAUCAUAUUAUUAUUAUUAUUAAAUGCCUGCAAUUUUUACGAAUUGUUGAACAUUUAUACUCUCUACAACCUGCAUCUGAGAUAGGCAAGAUCACCCGCUGAACUUAA
rnacentral:misc_RNA from 1 species